AUUGAACGCUGGCGGAAUGCUUUACACAUGCAAGUCGAACGGUAGAGGGGGCAACCCCUUGAGAGUGGCGAACGGGUGAGUAAUAUAUCGGAACGUGCCCAGUCGUGGGGAUAACGUAGCGAAAGUUACGCUAAUACCGCAUACGAUCUACGGAUGAAAGCGGGGGACUCGCAAGAGCCUCGCGCGAUUGGAGCGGCCGAUAUCAGAUUAGGUAGUUGGUGGGGUAAAGGCUCACCAAGCCAACGAUCUGUAGCUGGUCUGAGAGGACGACCAGCCACACUGGAACUGAGACACGGUCCAGACUCCUACGGGAGGCAGCAGUGGGGAAUUUUGGACAAUGGGCGCAAGCCUGAUCCAGCAAUGCCGCGUGCAGGAUGAAGGCCUCGGUUGUAACUAGCUUUUGUACGGUAACGAAACGGUAGGAGAC
rnacentral:rRNA from 1 species